rnacentral:rRNA from 1 species
CAGUCGCCGCGGUAAUACGAAGGGGGCUAGCGUUGCUCGGAAUUACUGGGCGUAAAGGGCGCGUAGGCGGACAGUUUAGUCAGAGGUGAAAGCCCAGGGCUCAACCUUGGAAUUGCCUUUGAUACUGGCUGUCUUGAGUACGGGAGAGGUGUGUGGAACUCCGAGUGUAGAGGUGAAAUUCGUAGAUAUUCGGAAGAACACCGGUGGCGAAGGCGACACACUGGCCCGUUACUGACGCUGAGGCGCGAAAGCGUGGGGAGCAAACAGGAUUAGAUACCCGAGUAGUCCCUGUCUCUUAUAC